rnacentral:tRNA from 1 species
GGGGGUGUAGCUCAGUUGGGAGAGCGCGGCGUUCGCAACGCCGAGGUCGUCGGUUCAAUCCCGAUCACCUCCA